UCUGGGUAAACAACUCACUUCCUUACUGCUCAUGUGAUUUGUGUUUUUGACGUCUCAAAGAAGUCAUGUCCAGCAGAUACCGGAUAGUGGUGCAAGGCGAGGCCUCUGAGACAGACUCUGAUGAUGAGGUCUACAUCACCUCCAUGUCUGCUCCCCAAACUGCCACAGUUGGAACCAAGGUUCCUGGGGAGGCAUCUGAGACAGACAGUGAGGAUGAGGAGGAGCAGGUGGACCGAGCCUCUACAGUGAGCCAGGAGAGCGCCCAGAUACUCAGGAGAGACCUGCCGCCACUUAUAGUAGUUAGAGACCAUCCUGGUAUACAGUCCAUAGUGGAAGAUAGACCAAGCCCCACACGCAGGCCUCAUGGUGAGACCCUUUUACAACAGAAGCUGCAGGAAUCUAACUGCCGGCUGCAUUCUGACGUGGGACAGACACUACGGCAGGUUUAUGGCAGUGCCAGUAGAGAGGUGCAGAAUGCAACAGCUCAGUUGAACGCUUCGCAGAGCGCCAUCAUCAAUGCCUCACACAGCAUCAGAUUAAUCCUGGAUGACCUAAAGGCUGUGUCAGAGAAGAUUGACAUCAUCACCAGCUGUCAAAUACUGCCUGAUAUUAACAUCAAUGAUGCAAAUCAUUAUACCGCUCCUCUACCUUAAAGAAACAGGUCAAUAUAUACAUUUAAAACAUACUUAUCAUCACAGUGUUUUAACACUUUAAUAUGGGUGUAAUUUCUUCCAACAGCUGGAAAGACUAGCAUGUUAGCUUUACUUCAGUGUUUCUAAACAGUGCCUAUGCAUCUGAACAAUAUGUAAAUUUAACAGUCACACACUACUGUUUGUAUGUAUUUAUCUGUCAGGAUUCUCUGUACUGUGUCUGCAGCUCUUCGCAUAACUCUGUAAAGAGUAGGAGUCAAAGAAAAACAAAUGUUCUGUCAUGUUCGUUUGGCGAGACAUUUUACGUAAGAAUUUUACAUAUCCAUUUUUAUCUUAUGCUUUGUAAAUAUAAAUAUAAAUCAACACAAUCCCUUGAAUCACUCUAUGCUUUUCUGUCUUUGUCUUUUCUUUGUUUUCUGGUCCUCUGUGAUUCAUCGAGGAAACAACUGUGAAGAACUUUCCCUUGAAACUUACUGGUUAUAAACAAACUUAAUUUAAACUGAUGCAACCAUUUGAUGGCCAACUCUCAGGACACAAGACCAACAGCAGUAAAACAUGAUUGCUUAGAUACAACUACAGCCCACCAGGAGAAGUUAGAAGUGACGUCCCAUUUAUUACACGUGUCCACCCAGCAGUCAGCAGCUUCACCAUGGAUCCGUCCAUACAGUCUGCAUGUAGGCGUGUCAGAUAGGUGUGUAAAUAUAAACUAAAACCACUACCAGCAGGUUGAGAAAUGUGCUCACAAUACCCACAACGCCAAGCACAUGGUCGGGGUCCGCCUUGCAUUGGGACGCUUCAGGAAGCACGCUGACGGGAUCGGCUUCCUGAAAGAGAGAAAGGGAGAUUUACAGUGUGCACAAUCUACAUGCACUCAAAGCAGGAGAUUUUUGAUUUAACCUUCACAUGUUUCAGCCACCUGAUGGCGCCAUCGACACACAUAUGGCAACACUCACUCUCCUCUGCUGAACCCAGUCUAUUCCAUCAUUGCAGUUAAGUCCAUAUCUGCACACCUUUCAUGUCCCGCAUUAUUAUGUGUAAUAUAUGCAUUGUGUCUAAUACAAAACAUAUGAGGAUCUUUUAUUUAAGUAAAAGUAGCAAUACAGUGUAGAAAUACUCUUUUUCAGGUAAAAGUCAUACAUAUACUUAGUACAAAAGUAUUAGCAUCAAGAUAUACUUCAAGCACUAAAAGUGAAAAUGCUCAUU